CAGCCGCCGCGGUAAAACGAAGGGGGCUAGCGUUGUUCGGAUUUACUGGGCGUAAAGGGCGCGUAGGCGGGCGAAUAAGUCAGGGGUGAAAUCCCAAGGCUCAACCUUGGAACUGCCUUUGAUACUGUUUGUCUUGAGUUCGAGAGAGGUAAGUGGAACUGCGAGUGUAGAGGUGAAAUUCGUAGAUAUUCGCAAGAACACCAGUGGCGAAGGCGGCUUACUGGCUCGAAACUGACGCUGAGGCGCGAAAGCGUGGGGAGCAAACAGGAUUAGAUACCCCCGUAGUCCCUGUCUCUUAUAC
rnacentral:rRNA from 1 species